UGAAAGCCUGGGGUGCCCCGCGAGGGAGCCCUAGCACAGGUGCUGCAUGGCCGUCGUCAGCUCGUGCCCGUGAGGUGUUGGGUUAAGUCCCGCAACGAGCGCAACCCCCGCCGUUAGUUGCCAGCGGUUCGGCCGGGCACUCUAACGGGACUGCCCGCGAAAGCGGGAGGAAGGAGGGGACGACGUCUGGUCAGCAUGGCCCUUACGGCCUGGGCGACACACGUGCUACAAUGCCCACUACAAAGCGAUGCCACCCGGCAACGGGGAGCUAAUCGCAAAAAGGUGGGCCCAGUUCGGAUUGGGGUCUGCAACCCGACCCCAUGAAGCCGGAAUCGCUAGUAAUCGCGGAUCAGCAUGUCACGGUGAAUACGUUCCCGGGUCUU
rnacentral:rRNA from 1 species